UGUGUUGACAAAUUGGCAAGUGUACCAAAUCGUACAAGUAAUAUAAAUGGUAAGACCAAGUAUCGUUUUCCCAAGAGACUCGUGUGGCUUUCUCGUUCACGUGAAUUAAAAUAAUAAGACUUGAAAAAUAAAAAUUAAUAAAUUGGAUUUGAGAUCAAAAAUAUUACCAUGCAAAAAUAAAUGUUGAUUCAAUUGACAAACGAAAACAAUGGAUGAAUGCAUGUUGUUGGGGGUUUACAAUUUCAUCUAUUCCGCUCUCUCUUACAUACUACCCUCGAAUAUUAGUUUGAUUGAUUCAAUUGUUAUGCGACUUUCUUAGCCUCCCCUUAACCCGAUCCCUCGGCGAAAAGGGCN
rnacentral:lncRNA from 1 species